GGUGACUCAGAGGUUAAAGCGUCUGCCUGCAAUGCCAGAGACCCGGUUAACCAGGCACCAAAGGGCCGAUAUGUAGCCUGGAAACAUGUGCACCCAACACAGAGAAGCUUGGAGAGCUAAUAGCAAAUGUUUGGGCAGUGUGGGGAAAGGACUGUCCUUGAAAAUGAAACAGGCAUCGUUACUGCUGGACUUCUCACAUUUGUAAAUACGUUAAUAGAACACUCUGGGCUUCUAAGGUUUCAGUUUGAAAAGAAGCUAAUUGUUUGAAAAAUGUAGGUUACAAGCCACUUAGGAAAGUCCCUCUCUGAUGCUCUGUAGACGGCAGAGCAGGAAGUCAAAGGUGGCCGGCUGAGAUUGCUGCCAUCAAUUUCUCAUCAGUGGCUCCACAACUGCGUCUCUCCUGAUUGAAGUGACAAAACAGAAUAUUUAAUCCUAACUCCAAUCCUUCUCUUUUUGGCUACCACGGACCUCACUCCAUCUGUGAAAAGAUCUCAACUUUCAGUUUUAAGGUAAGUAAAUUCUGGAGAUGGGACAUAUCACAUGAUGCCACAUGAAAAGCUCUCAACUUCCAGUUAUAAGAUAAAUAAACCCUAGAGAUGAAAUGUACCACAAAAUGACGAUAGUGAACAAUAUAUUUGAAAGUUGCUCAAGGAGUAGGUUUUACAAAUUCUCAUUACAAGAAAAAAAUUAUAACUCGGUGUGUGAUGAAUGUUAACUAGACUUACUGUGAUCAUGUCAUAAUAUAUACAUGCAUGAAGUCAUUAUGUUGCACACCUUAAUGUUAUAUGACAAGUAUAUCUCAAUAAACUGGAAAAACAUCUCAGGUUGUAGGAUGAUUAAGGUAAUAAACAAUAAAGAUACAUAAUAAAGGUAACAAUCAUUUGCUAAAAGUGUACUACAUUUUAAGUCAUUUUCAUGCCCUAUUUUAUUGAAUCUGUACAAUAAUCGUGUUGGAAUCAUUACAUUCUAAUUCUAGAAAAGAAAUAAGGAGGCUAAUAGGGGUUAUCAUUUAUGCAAAGUGACACAGUUAGCAAGUGUCAGAGCUGAGAUUGGAGUCCAAGGUUUUUUGUCUUCAAAGCCUUUGCUGUCUACCUACAAAAACAGUAAGGAUCUUAGACAAGGUGUGGGUUAGUUGCUCAGUCAUGUCCGACUUUGUGACCCUAUGGACUGUAACCCGCCAGGCUCCUCUGUCCAUGGGAUUUCCCAGGCAAGAAUACUGGAGUGGGUUGCCAUUUCCUUCUCCAGGGGAUCUUCCCAACCUGGUGAUCGAACUUGGGUCUCCCACAUUGCAGGCAGAUUCUUUAACGUCUGAGCCACCAAGCAAGUCAAUCUAUACCCCCUUGAUUCUCUUUAAUUCUCCAAGUCUCCAUCAUCAUUGUCUUUUCUAUCUAGUGCCUCAUUCCUUGUGUUUCAGAUACUCAACUUCAGUGUUUGAGGGGUGGAGAGAGAUGGGUUGAGGGGUUUGUGUCUGGACUCUUGUUAGGAUAACCAGCAGAUCAUCUUGCCUUGCAUGACCCUGGGGCAGAAUCAGUGCUUUGCAGGUAAACUGGCUCUGACCCUUUGUGGCCCCAUGGAUUGCAGCCCAUCAGACUCCUCUGUUCUUGGGAAUUUUUAGGUAAGCAUACGGAAGUGGGCUGCCACUUCCCUCUCCAGGGGAUCUUCCCAGUUCCAGGGAUCAAACCAGAUUCGCCGGUGUCUGUAUUGCAAGCAGAUUCUUUACCUGCUGAGCCAUCGGGGAAGCUCAAGCAAAUUGGCACUAAAUCUCAGUUGUUGAACCAACACUUCACUCACGUUGAUUAAGCACUUACUGUGUGUCUAGUAUGUCAGCAGUGGUUUUGCAAAGAUGAAUGUGAUUCAAGACCUCAAAGCUGGCAGGAGAGGUCUGCACAGAGAUGGUCACAGUUGGCCGGGCUAAGGGCUGUGUGUCUUGGUGCUUAGCUUAGCAGGGUCUGCUGAGACUCUCGGGUUCCAGGCCCUUCUUCCCUAUGACUCACCUCCUAACCCUAAACAAAUUAUGUCAACUUUUCUGUGCCUCAGUUGCUUUACCUAUAAAGCGAGGAUAAUCACAGUGGCUUACCUCAGAGGGGUGUAGUGAGAAAAGUCUAAUAAAAGACUGAGCAGUAAAUGUCAGAGGGUUUGUUAAGAAUUAGUGCUACCUGAAUGCUGAAUGAUGAACCAGAAUUUCUUCUGUGUCAAAGGCAGCAGGCAGUUGGGCAAUGUUCUAGUGUUUAAUCACUUACCCUACAGACGUCCCUCAGAUGAAAGCUUCCCCCUUAAUAACAGGUGCCUAUGUGGUAAAGGUUCUUAGUCAAGUGUUGAGAAGGAAGAGUUGUCUAAUCCUUUUGGUAUUCUUACAGUUAGGUAUUCCAGGUGGGUAAGCAUCUUUCUGUUUCUUAAAGAUAUUGAAGAAAGCAAGGAGAAAGUCAAGUUUUCCUCAUUUAUUUAUUCACUCAUUAAUUUAGCAAGUAUUAUUUGUUGAUGUGAUGUGAGAGUUGGGCCAUAAGGAUAGCUGAACGUCAAAAAUUGAUGCUUUUGAACUGUGAUGUUGGAGGAGACUCUUGAGAGUCCCUUGAACUGCAAGGAGAUCAAAUAAGUCAAUCCUAAA